rnacentral:rRNA from 1 species
UACAGAGGGGGCAAGCGUUGUUCGGAAUUACUGGGCGUAAAGGGCGCGUAGGCGGCCUGUUAAGUCGAACGUGAAAUCCCCCGGGCUCAACCCGGGAACUGCGUCCGAUACUGGAAGGCUUGAAUCCGGGAGAGGGAUGCGGAAUUCCAGGUGUAGCGGUGAAAUGCGUAGAUAUCUGGAGGAACACCGGUGGCGAAGGCGGCAUCCUGGACCGGCAUUAACGCUGAGGCGCGGAAAGCCAGGGGAGCAAACGGG